GACGAACGCUGGCGGCGUGCUUAACACAUGCAAGUCGAACGGAAAGGCUCCAGCUUGCUGGAGUACUCGAGUGGCGAACGGGUGAGUAACACGUGGGUAAUCUGCCCUGCACUCUGGGAUAAGCCUGGGAAACUGGGUCUAAUACUGGAUAUGACCUUUCUCCUUAUGGGGUUUGGUGGAAAGUUUUUCGGUGUAGGAUGAGCCCGCGGCCUAUCAGCUUGUUGGUGGGGUGAUGGCCUACCAAGGCGACGACGGGUAGCCGGCCUGAGAGGGUGAUCGGCCACAUUGGGACUGAGAUACGGCCCAG
rnacentral:rRNA from 2 species